rnacentral:rRNA from 1 species
GACGAACGCUGGCGGCGCGCCUAACACAUGCAAGUCGAACGGAGUCAAGAGGAGCUUGCUUUUCUUGACUUAGUGGCGCACGGGUGAGUAACGCGUGAGUAACCUGCCCUGGAGUGGGGGACAACAGUUGGAAACGACUGCUAAUACCGCAUAAGCCCACGGAUCCGCAUGGAUCUGCGGGAAAAGGAUUUAUUCGCUUCAGGAUGGACUCGCGUCCAAUUAGCUAGUUGGUGAGGUAACGGCCCACCAAGGCGACGAUUGGUAGCCGGACUGAGAGGUUGAACGGCCACAUUGGGACUGAGACACGGCCCAGACUCCUACGGGAGGCAGCAGUGGGGGAUAUUGCACAAUGGGGGAAACCCUGAUGCAGCGACGCCGCGUGGAGGAAGAAGGUUUUCGGAUUGUAAACUCCUGUCGUUAGGGACGAGAAUGACGGUACCUAACAAGAAAGCACCGGCUAACUACGUG